GUGAUUUUUGGUUUUGAGAAGUAAAAACAAUUGAUUUUUAGCAAGAAAAUUAGAUCUUGAAAGAUCCCUUAAGACCUUUGAAUUUCUCUUUUAUUUUCUUUUGUUUUUUUCUUGAAUUUCACGACGAUGAUGAUGAACAAGAGACAGACAGAGACAGCCACAUAAAGAAGACAAAUUUCUACUCAGAGAGAGGAAUAAUUAUAACUUCACACUUCUAUUCUUUUACAUUUUCUGAGAAAACCGAAAAAAAAUGUCAACACCUAACUCGCCAUGUGCAGCCUGCAAGUUUCUGAGGCGGAAAUGUACGCAAGAAUGCGUUUUUGCACCG
rnacentral:misc_RNA from 1 species